rnacentral:rRNA from 1 species
CCUACGGGUGGCAGCAGUGAGGAAUAUUGGUCAAUGGACGAGAGUCUGAACCAGCCAAGUAGCGUGAAGGAUGACUGCCCUAUGGGUUGUAAACUUCUUUUAUAUGGGAAUAAAAUGUUCCACGUGUGGGAUUUUGUAUGUACCAUAUGAAUAAGGAUCGGCUAACUCCGUGCCAGCAGCCGUGGUAAUACGGAGGAUCCGAGCGUUAUCCGGAUUUAUUGGGUUUAAAGGGAGCGUAGGUGGAUUGUUAAGUCAGUUGUGAAAGUUUGCGGCUCAACCGUAAAAUUGCAGUUGAAACUGGCAGUCUUGAGUACAGUAGAGGUGGGCGGAAUUCGUGGUGUAGCGGUGAAAUGCUUAGAUAUCACGAAGAACUCCGAUUGCGAAGGCAGUUCACUGGACUGCAACUGACACUGAGGCUCGAAAGUGUGGGUAUCAAACAGGAUUAGAUACCCGAGUAGUC